CCUACGGGCGGCAGCAGUGAGGAAUAUUGGGCAAUGGGCGCGAGCCUGAACCAGCCAAGUAGCGUGAAUGAUGACUGCCCUACGGGUUGUAAACUUCUUUUAUAAAGGAAUAAAGUGAGGCACGUGUGCCUUUUUGUAUGUACGUUAUGAAUAAGGAUCGGCUAAAUCCUUGCCAGCAGCCCCGGUAAUACGGAGGGUCCGAGCGUUAUCCGGAUUUAUUGGGUUUAAAGGGAGCGUAGAUGGGUUGUUAAGUCAGUUGUGAAAGUUUGCGGCUCAACCGUAAAAUUGCAAUUGAUACUGGCAGCCUUGAGUACAGUUGAGGGAGGCGGAAUUCGUGGUGUAGCGGUGAAAUGCUUAGAUAUCACGAAGAACUCCGAUUGCGAAGGCAGCUUUCUAGACUGCCACUGACAUUGAUGCUCGAAAGUGUGGGUAUCAAACAGGAUUAGAUACCCUAGUAGUC
rnacentral:rRNA from 1 species